GACGAACGCUGGCGGCGUGCCUAAUACAUGCAAGUUGAGCGCUGAAGGUUGGUACUUGUACCGACUGGAUGAGCAGCGAACGGGUGAGUAACGCGUGGGGAAUCUGCCUUUGAGCAGGGGACAACAUUUGGAAACGAAUGCUAAUACCGCAUAAAAACUUUAAACACAAGUUUUAAGUUUGAAAGAUGCAAUUGCAUCACUCAAAGAUGAUCCCGCGUUGUAUUAGCUAGUUGGUGAGGUAAAGGCUCACCAAGGCGAUGAUACAUAGCCGACCUGAGAGGGUGAUCGGCCACAUUGGGACUGAGACACGGCCCAAACUCCUACGGGAGGCAGCAGUAGGGAAUCUUCGGCAAUGGACGAAAGUCUGACCGAGCAACGCCGCGUGAGUGAAGAAGGUUUUCGGAUCGUAAAACUCUGUUGGUAGAGAAGAACGUUGGUGAGAGUGGAAAGCUCAUCAAGUGACGGUAACUACCCAGAAAGGGACGGCUAACUACGUG
rnacentral:rRNA from 1 species